rnacentral:lncRNA from 1 species
CCACAAUAACUAUAGGUUUGUGUGUCUCAAUCCAGGAAUAAGCAAGGACCAAAGACAGCUGCAGGCUGCAAUUGCAUGGGAAAGCAUUGCUGGAGGUCGCGAGGUUUGCAGCUCUUCUGUAGGAGCCAUCCCUCUCACCGCAAUCCCGAGCCCCUUCUGGGAAAACAGACAAUUUUGCCACGCAAAGUCCACCUGAACUAAUUCUGCACAGCACCAAAGCAUGCCUGGCAAUCCUUAUUUCAUGAGCUCCCUGUCUACUCUCUGAUGGGAACCAUUGCAUCGGAUUGGUCACUUUUUGUGCUAGCUGCUCUCCUGCUGAAAGAGCUUCAAAUCCACUUGGAGAUCAUCCCUGGGCUUGCUCCAGUGUGCAGAUCUCUAGCUGCAAACGGGAGCAGUAUCGCCACCGUCUAGUUUCAUCAUCUAAUUACACAGGAUUGCAAUGCUUAUAGCUCACUGAUGCCUGGGACUCAUUUUGAUAUUCUGGUGCAACAUCCCAAAGACAGGAGUUCUGUAUUCAGGGCCAGAUCUGGAUGCUCUUAGAUGAAUAAUACAUAAUGCAAUACACCGAUGAGAAGGAUAAGAAUGAUUGAGUGACUCUCCGUUUACUGAAUGGUUAAUAUUUUACUACAGAAAGUCUUGAGGAAAAAAC